GACGAACGCUGGCGGCGUGCUUAACACAUGCAAGUCGAACGAGACGAUUGAAAGCUUGCUUUUGAAAGUCGAGUGGCAAACGGGUGAGUAACGCGUAGACAACCUGCCUUUGAGAUGGGGACAACAGUUCGAAAGGACUGCUAAUACCAAAUGUUGUAUAUUUUCCACAUGGAAGAUAUAUUAAAGAUGGCCUCUAUUUAUAAGCUAUCGCUCAAAGAUGGGUCUGCGUCUGAUUAGCUGGUUGGUGGGGUAACGGCCUACCAAGGCGACGAUCAGUAGCCGGUGUGAGAGGAUGAACGGCACCAUUGGGACUGAGAUACGGCCCAGACUCCUACGGGAGGCAGCAGUGGGGAAUCUUCCACAAUGGACGAAAGUCUGAUGGAGCAACGCCGCGUGAGUGAAGAAGGGUUUCGGCUCGUAAAGCUCUGUUGUCGGGGACGAAUGUGCAGUAUUUGAAUAAAGUACUGCAAUGACGGUACCUGACGAGGAAGCCACGGCUAACUACGUGCCAGCCGCCGCCGUAA
rnacentral:rRNA from 1 species